rnacentral:rRNA from 1 species
GACGAACGCUGGCGGCGUGCUUAACACAUGCAAGUCGAACGGACAGGCCCUGCUUUUGUUGGGUUCUCGAUUGCCGCGCACGUGUGUAACACGUGAGUAUCCUGCACUUAUCUUUGUGAUAACUUCAGGAAACUGGGGCUAAUACCGGAUAUGAGAUCCUGCUGCAUGUUGGUGGUUGGAAAGUUUCGGCGGUUGGGGAUGGACUCGCUGCUUAUCCGCUUGUUGGUGGGGUAGUGGUUUACCAAGGCUUUGAGGGGUAGGCGGCCUGGGAGGGUGACCGGCGACAUUGCUACUGAGAGACGGACCAGACGCCUACCGGAGGCAGCAGGGGGGAAUAUUGCACAACGGGCGGAAGCCUGAUGCAGCAACGCCGCGUGCGUGAUGACGGCCUUCGGGUUGUAAACCGCUUUCGCCGGUGACGAAGCGUGAGUGACGGUAAUGGGUAAAGAAGCACCGGCUAACUACGUG